rnacentral:rRNA from 1 species
UUUAGCCUCCUUAGGGGCCUGCAGGCAUACCCCCCAAUCUCGUCUGAUCUGAAGCUAAGCAGGGUCUGGCCUGGUUAGUACUUGGCUGGGGGUAAACGCCUUGGGGAACCAUGGAGGCUGAGC